UUCCAGCAAAUUCCCUUCCACAGGCACUUCUCCGCGCACACAGUACAGCCUCCACUCACCUGCAGGGGGCAGCAGCGGCACAGAGUUAGGACGUGGUGUGCCACGGGGACCCGCCAACACCACCCACCCUGGGCCCACCCAGGCCCAUCCUGUGACUUGGGGGUGGGGGUGGGGGGCUCAGGCGGAGUGGCGGCCAGCUCGCUGCCGGCCCAGAAAGCACAUCCUUUCGGAGUUAGAAGCAGGUUCGUGAAGUAGAAAACCCAUUUUUGUAAAUACUCAGGUAUUUACAAAUACUUACAAAUACUGAGUAUCUUAUAAAUACUCAGGUAAAUCACAUAACAGGCAUAUUUUGAGAGGCUCUGAAGCUAAGAAUUCUUUUUAUUUUAUUUUUUUUAUAAAUCUAUUCUAUAAAUUAAGAGAUUUUUGUUGGCCAGCAUCCAAUUUAUAAUAGAUGACCCACUGAAUUUUUCUCCCCUCUUGAAAAGAGAGACAGAGUCACUGUGGGAAUUCAGUUUAAGGGGAAGUAAUCUCCCAGCCUCCUGCAUCCAGAGUCCUAUGUAUCCUAAGGUAAACGCCACAGGAAGGUGGGGGGGGUGGCUAUGAGCUCCCCAUAAGGCUGAUUUGUAAGGCAAACGUGACGAGGCUUUCAGGGGGGAAGACACAGCUAUAUAAAGGGAGACUUACUUUAAUACCCGCCCCCCACCCCCAGUGUGAAAACACCUUCUAGGAGAGGGAAACGAAUCUUAUUCCAACGGUGACAGUGACUUACUUUGUGUGUUCUCUUCCUCCUCUUCCCGCCUCCCGGAGUGUACUACCAUUCCCCCCUGGAAACACUGCAGAAAGCAGGGGGGCUCCUUUCCCUGCAGGACCUGGACCUUUCAAUGGAAACACAUUCCAGAAGGGGAGCUAUGUAUGCUUUCAAAGCUGGUCCUUAACGUUCCCUGCUGCACAACACCGAAGGUUAGUGGAUUCCCACCCGCCAAAUCCCCUCUUACUGCCUUUAUUGCCAACACGCGGCACGGAUGGUUACUGCAGCUGGACAACUGCACCACCCCCAAGGAGCAGAGACUCGCAAUAGCGACUCUUUGGGAAGGACGCUUAUUUUGGGGAGACUCAUGUUAUCUCAUCUUCAAGGCCACCAGACACGACAGCAGGAAGGGAGAGCACGAGGACACAGAACAGGAAGUGGCACAGCCCAACCUGGAGGCCUCCUGCUACGGCCUCAGGAUUUCAGAAUUUGAAACUGCUUGGAACGCUGAUCAGGCAGAGGAAGGCAGGAUUGAGGAAAUAAAUACAUGCUGAAGCAGGUUCGCGCAGGUAUCGCCCAUCCUUCCAAAACGCUCUUUGGCUGCGAACGGAGACCGGGCUGCAUACACCCCGCGAGCCUGAUGAGCAGUGCUUCUGGGGCCUGCUGCCGCCCCUGCCCAUCACUUCCUGUCUCGUCACGACUAUGGCUUCUGAAGUCACCCCCACGGCACAUCAAGGAGAGUGCCCGUUCGGAGGGAGACCACCCGGGGGAGGCCACGGCAUUCUAACACCCCCACCUCGUACUCUCCCGGGACUCUAGGAACCAAGUAUCGGCAACUAAGGAGGAUUCAGGACUCCCUUGCAAGGCUGUGGCCUUUAACAGCAAAUGUCUGAAUGACCAUCUUUGGUAUGGAGUCCACUCUGCAGACUUGCUAGGAUGUCUAUAGACAGCACUUGCUUUCAGCUUUAGACAUGGAU